rnacentral:rRNA from 1 species
GAUGAACGCUAGCGGCAGGCCUAACACAUGCAAGUCGAGGGGCAGCAUACAACAAGCUUGCUUGUUUGGUGGCGACCGGCGCACGGGUGCGUAACGCGUAUGCAACCUACCCUGUACUGGGGGAUAGCCCGGAGAAAUUCGGAUUAAGACCCCAUAGUAUAUAUCAUUCGCAUGUUUGAUAUUUUAAAGGUUACGGUACAGGAUGGGCAUGCGUCCUAUUAGCUUGUUGGUGAGGUAACGGCUCACCAAGGCGACGAUAGGUAGGGGGCCGGAGAGGGUGGUCCACCACGCUGGUACUGAGACACGGACCAGACUACUACGGGAGGCAGCAGUGAGGAAUAUUGGUCAAUGGGCGCAAGCCUGAACCAGCCAUGCCGAGUGCAGGAUGAAGCAUCUAUGGUGUGUAAACUGCUUUUGUACGGGAAGAAACACCGGUUCGUGAACCGGCUUGACGGUACCGUAAGAAUAAGGAUCGGCUAACUCCGUGCCAGCCGCCGCCGUAAGAC